UGGGGAAUAUUGCACAAUGGGCGCAAGCCUGAUGCAGCCAUGCCGCGUGUAUGAAGAAGGCCUUCGGGUUGUAAAGUACUUUCAGCGGGGAGGAAGGGAGUAAAGUUAAUACCUUUGCUCAUUGACGUUACCCGCAGAAGAAGCACCGGCUAACUCCGUGCCAGCAGCCGCGGUAAUACGGAGGGUGCAAGCGUUAAUCGGAAUUACUGGGCGUAAAGCGCACGCAGGCGGUUUGUUAAGUCAGAUGUGAAAUCCCCGGGCUCAACCUGGGAACUGCAUCUGAUACUGGCAAGCCUGAGUCUCGUAGAGGGGGGUAGAAUUCCAGGUGUAGCGGUGAAAUGCGUAGAGAUCUGGAGGAAUACCGGUGGCGAAGGCGGCCCCCUGGACAAAGACUGACGCUCAGGUGCGAAAGCGUGGGGAGCAAACAGG
rnacentral:rRNA from 1 species